rnacentral:rRNA from 1 species
UGGGGAAUAUUGGACAAUGGGCGCAAGCCUGAUCCAGCAAUGCCGCGUGGGUGAAGAAGGCCUUCGGGUUGUAAAGCCCUUUUGUACGGGAAGAAAUCCUGUCGGUUAAUACCCGGCGGGGAUGACGGUACCGUAAGAAUAAGCACCGGCUAACUUCGUGCCAGCAGCCGCGGUAAUACGAAGGGUGCAAGCGUUAAUCGGAAUUACUGGGCGUAAAGCGUGCGUAGGCGGUUCGUUAAGUCUGUCGUGAAAGCCCUGGGCUCAACCUGGGAAUGGCGAUGGAUACUGGCGAGCUAGAGUGUGAUAGAGGAUGGCGGAAUUCCCGGUGUAGCGGUGAAAUGCGUAGAGAUCGGGAGGAACAUCCGUGGCGAAGGCGGCCAUCUGGAUCAACACUGACGCUGAGGCACGAAAGCGUGGGGAGCAAACAGG